AACGAACGCUGGCGGCAUGCCUAACACAUGCCAGUCGAACGAGACCUUCGGGUCUAGUGGCGCACGGGUGCGUAACGCGUGGGAACCUGCCCUUAGGUUCGGAAUAACUCCCCGAAAGGGGUGCUAAUACCGGAUAAUGUCUUCGGACCAAAGAUUUAUCGCCUUUGGAUGGGCCCGCGUUGGAUUAGCUAGUUGGUAGGGUAAAAGCCUACCAAGGCGACGAUCCAUAGCUGGUCUGAGAGGAUGAUCAGCCACACUGGGACUGAGGCACGGCCCAGACUCCUACGGGAGGCAGCAGUGGGGAAUAUUGGACAAUGGGCGAAAGCCUGAUCCAGCAAUGCCGCGUGAGUGAUGAAGGCCUUAGGGUUGUAAAGCUCUUUUACCCGGGAUGAUAAUGACAGUACCGGGAGAAUAAGCGCCGGCUAACUCCGUG
rnacentral:rRNA from 1 species